UGGCGGGGCACUGGUUAAAGCAUUUGGCUGCUAACCAAAAGGUCAGUGGUUCAAACCCACU
rnacentral:tRNA from 1 species